rnacentral:rRNA from 1 species
UACAGAGGGUGCAAGCGUUAUCCGGAAUUAUUGGGCGUAAAGAGCUCGUAGGCGGUUUGUCGCGUCUGCUGUGAAAACUGGAGGCUCAACCUCCAGCCUGCAGUGGGUACGGGCAGACUAGAGUGCGGUAGGGGAGAAUGGAACUCCUGGUGUAGCGGUGGAAUGCGCAGAUAUCAGGAAGAACACCGAUGGCGAAGGCAGUUCUCUGGGCCGUAACUGACG